ensembl:snRNA U4 U4 spliceosomal RNA
AUCCUUGCGGAAGGGGCAUUAUCGUUGCAAGUGACGCCUAGCGGAUGCGCGAUUAUUGCUAGUUGAAAACUACUCCAAUUCCCGUCUAUCAUUACGCAAGUUUUGAUGGCAAUUUUUGAGGCCCUCAGGGGC